rnacentral:rRNA from 1 species
GUUAAGUGACGAUAGCCUAGGAGAUACACCUGUACCCAUGCCGAACACAGUAGUUAAGCCCUAGAACGCCGGAAGUAGUUGGGGGUUGCCCCCUGUGAGAUAUGGUAGUCGCUUAGC